GAUGAACGCUAGCGGCAGGCUUAACACAUGCAAGUCGAGGGGUAUAGGUUUUCGGACCUAGAGACCGGCGCACGGGUGCGUAACGCGUAUGCAAUCUACCUUUCACAGAGGGAUAGCCCAGAGAAAUUUGGAUUAAUACCUCAUAGUAUAGCAGUUUCGCAUGAAACCACUAUUAAAGUUCCAACGGUGAAAGAUGAGCAUACGUCCCAUUAGCUAGAUGGUAAGGUAACGGCUUACCAUGGGUACGAUGGGUAGGGGUCCUGAGAGGGAUAUCAGCCGCACGGGUAGUGAGACACGGACCAGACUACUACGGGAGAGAGCAGUGAGGAAUGUUGGUCAAUGGACGAAAGUCUGAACCGGCCAUGGCGCGUGCAGGAUGACGGUCGUAGGGAUUGUAAACUGUGUUUGUACGGGAAGAAACAGCAUUACGUGUAAUGUCUUGACGGUAUCGUAAGAAUAAGGAUCGGCUAACUCCGUGCCAGCCGCCGCGGUAAUAC
rnacentral:rRNA from 1 species